UAUUCUGAACUCUGCUGCUGUAGCCGAGACCAACACAUGGGACACAUUUUGUGGGAUUUGAGCGCUCAUGGUUCAUCUGGGUCCGGGCUGCAGGAGGAUGAUGAAGAUACUGCUGCGGCUCCUCUGCCUCCUGCUUCCUCUGAGCCUCCUCACGUGGAGCCGCAGGGCCCCUUCGACACCAGGGGCUGAAAGACCCCGAUGGCCCUGUGAGGAAACCGCUUCUCAUCACUUGUGGAUGUUCUGAUCCAACAAUCCUAGGACUGCAAACCCGGAACUCUUCAUUUUCUUUUUUCUUUUUAAAAAAAUAUCCUUGAUUCACCCUCACACAGGAACUUUACAGACAAAGAAGCCCAAGUAACUCUUUAAUUUCCAGCACACGACGUCGCCAACUGCUAAAACUUCUGUGAAUAAAAGGAGGGAUAAUUAA